AAGUCGUAACAAGGUUUCCGUAGGUGAACCUGCGGAAGGAUCAUUAAAAAAAUUUAACACUUUUUCACAUUUGAAAAAUUAAAAAUUAAAAUUCUCACUGAAUUCACUCUCAGUGUUGUGAUCUCUGUAAGCCUUGAAGUGAAGGUCAUUGGAUUCUUUCUAAUGACUGGAUCUUUGAGCAAACCCUUUUUUUUAACUUAAUAAUAAUAAUAAAAAAACCCAAUUCAAACCUCAAAUGGACUUCUUUUUUCUUUUCUUUCUUUUCUUUUUUUAAUUUCCGCAAGGAAUGCAAAAAUAAAAUUAAAAAAAAAAAAUCAAGGAUCUCCUUUCAAAUUUAAAAACAAAAAAAUAUACAAAAACACUCACUGAGUGUAUAAACUAACAAUUCAUUAAAAUGAAAUACAACUCUUAACAAUGGAUAUCUCGGUUCUCGU
rnacentral:misc_RNA from 1 species